rnacentral:rRNA from 1 species
UACAGAGGGUGCAAGCGUUGUCCGGAAUUAUUGGGCGUAAAGAGCUCGUAGGCGGUUUGUCGCGUCGAAUGUGAAAACCCGGGGCUCAACUCCGGGCCUGCAUUCGAUACGGGCAGACUAGAGUUCGGUAGGGGAGACUGGAAUUCCUGGUGUAGCGGUGAAAUGCGCAGAUAUCAGGAGGAACACCGGUGGCGAAGGCGGGUCUCUGGGCCGAUACUGACGCUGAGGAGCGAAAGCGUGGGGAGCGAACAGG